GACGAACGCUGGCGGCGUGCUUAACACAUGCAAGUCGAACGGUAAGGCCCUUCGGGGUACACGAGUGGCGAACGGGUGAGUAACACGUGGGUGAUCUGCCCUGCACUUCGGGAUAAGCCUGGGAAACUGGGUCUAAUACCGGAUAGGACCCUGGGAUGCAUGUCCUGGGGUGGAAAGCUUUUGCGGUGUGGGAUGGGCCCGCGGCCUAUCAGCUUGUUGGUGGGGUGAUGGCCUACCAAGGCGACGACGGGUAGCCGGCCUGAGAGGGUGAUCUGCCACACCGGAACUGAGACACGGUCCGGACUCCUACGGGAGGCAGCAGUGGGGAAUAUUGGACAAUGGACGAAAGUCUGAUCCAGCGAUGCCGCGUGAGUGAAGAAUGUCUUCGGAUUGUAAAGCUCUUUUGUCAGGGAAGAAAAGUGCUGUAAUAACACUACGGCACAAUGACGGUACCUGAAGAAUAAGGAUCGGCUAACUACGUGCCAGCAGCCGCGGUAA
rnacentral:rRNA from 1 species